GUCUUUUGAGUUAUUUAAAAGUNUGACCUGCCCACUGAAUAAUUUUAAAUGGCCGCAGUAUUCUAACUGUGCAAAGGUAGCAUAAUCAUUAGUCUUUUAAUUGAAGGCUGGUAUGAACGGUUGGACGAAGUAUAAGCUGUUUCAUAUAAAAUUUAAUUAGAAUUUUAUUUUUUAGUAAAAAAGCUAAAAUUUUAUUAAAAGACGAGAAGACCCUAUAAAUCUUUAUAUUAUAUUAUAUUUAAAUUUUUUUGAUUUAUUUUAUUUUUAUAAAAUAUAUUAUUUUGUUGGGGUGAUAUUAAAAUUUAAUGAACUUUUAAUUAUUUUUAAAUCAUUAAUUUAUGAAUUAUUGAUCCAUUAUUAGUGAUUAUAAGAUUAAGUUACUUUAGGGAUAACAGCGUAAUUUUUUUUGAGAGUUCAUAUCGACAAAAAAGUUUGCGACCUCGAUGUUGGAUUAAGAUAUAUUUUUAGGUGUAGCCGCUUNAAUAUUAAGUCUGUUCGACUUUUAGAUUCUUACAU
rnacentral:rRNA from 1 species